GCUUUCACUUCUUUCUCUGUUUUCCUGCUUUUGUUCCUAUGUUGUCUAUUAUCCUCCUAUAGCAAAGGUACCCAUACAAAUUCUGUACUUACAUUAAUUCUAUUCUAUUCUAUUCUAUUCUAUUCUAUUCUAUUCUAUUCUAUUCUACUCUCAGUAUUAUCUGUAUCCUAAUAUGAAAAACAUGUUAAGACGAAUUUUCUACCACAUCUGUUCUGUGACACUUUGCUCCAGUACCCACAUAACCUCAUAAAAGCCUGGCCCUGCUGUUUUGUGCCUAAAUCAAUGUUACACUAACCCGUUGCAAGGGUCUCCUGCCCAUGACAGGGAAAGCAAAGCACAGAGAGCUGAUUGACUCCCUUGAUCUCUGUUCCAGAGGGAUUUUCUUAGCAGGGAGAGCAGUGGGUUGGCUGGAGAGGGGGAGCAAGUGGUGAGCAGCAGGUGAGGCAGGCUUUCCUCGGCAAGCCACGGGAGCAUCAGCAUCAGCAGCAGGAGAAGAACUUUCCCCUUUGAGACAUAUCAGAAACUUGACUCUCAAUGCAACAAAAACAGUUUCUAGAUUUUUGCAGAGAAGAAAGUGGUGUAAAUUUCAUCUAUAGGUAACAAAUCUAAGAAAUAAAUGUAGCAAAGCAAAGAAAGCCUUUUCUAGUUUCCAGUGCUGUGUGAUUUUCAAGGCAGACGUGGAAAAGUCACAUCUUCUUUUGAAGCCCACGAGACCGAAAAAUUAAACCAGGGGGCUUUGUUAUUGAUGUUUUUCUAAUACGAAUGUUUUGAAAUCCCUGCCUUUCAUGUGUCUCUUACAAAUAAGCAGAAGUGUGUGAUGAGUCAUCUUUGCUUUUAAUUCCUUUAAUAGAUUCUUACCUCACCCGCUAACGUCUAAACAAUUCUUGUUUCUGUAACAAUCCCUUCCUCAGUGGUAAAUAUUGCUCUCAGACAACAUAUUUUUUGGAGGCUCAUUAUGUUCAUUCUGUGGCUGAGACUCAUUAUACUCAGUUAUUUAUUUAAAAGAACAAAAUGACAGCAAAUGCCUGCAUGUAUCAUGUCUUCCUUUACACAUAUAUUAAAUAUAUUUCAGUAACAAGGCCCAGAACUCUCACAGUUUUGAAAAAAGCAGCUGGCUUUCCUUCCUAGCCAUCACUCCUCGAGAAAGGAAUACUGAGAGGUGAUGGUAGAGCCUAACCUUGCCUGCUAAAUGAGAUUCCACUGACACUAAUGGGAAAUUUGGCAAAGACAGGAAAAUAAUUUAUGAACUAUUUGAAUAUUUUCAAUUAUAAAACAAACAAACAAAAAAAACUUGGAGAAUUAUUAAGAAGGAAGAAGCAAAUGAAAAUGCCACUAUAAGGCAUUGUGAAAUGGUAUAUGUGGAAUCAGUCCAAGCAAUAAUUUUGAUACCUAAUGACAAGUUUGAGUCUUCUGAAGUACCAAAGUAUCACCCAUCUCACUGAAGAGCUUGACAAAAAAAGCUUACAACCUUUACACAGAAAAAAGUCUUCAGCCAUUUAAACUGACAUUUCAUUAAUCCAACAUUCAUGGCUUCUGUUCAUGUUCUUCUAAGCCAAACUCCAAGCCUAAAAGCAAUACCCACUUCUGUUCACACCCAACUGCCUCUGGCCCUCAAUAGAGAGGUUCUAACUGGUGCACAGUCAUAGCAAAAGGUUUUUGAGAUUAUGAUCAGCAUAAUUAUACAAAUGGAGUGAGGUUUGUCCUCAGUGAGCUGUAAAAUACAUUUUUAACUAGGCCAUUGAUACAGCAGAGACAAGAUGAAAAACAAGAGAGCAGGGCAAAGGUUUGGCUGUGUGGCCAUUCUGGGAAAUGACUGAAAAACAAGAACAAAGCUAUUCAGAGCAGGUCAUUAAAGAAAGAAAAUAUCUUAAACAAGCCUAAAAGAUAGGAAAUAGAAAUAUGGCAUGGUCGCUUACAAAGCAGAGGUCAAAAAGACAUCAGUAAUUAAUGAGGAAAAGAUAAAGAACCAAGCACUUAAUUUCAAAGAAAUAGUCGGGAAAAGCAUAAUGGCACUAUGAACAGGAAAAAAGUCUUUGCAGAAGUAAAUGGGAAUGAAUAAGAUCUCAAUAGGGGAAAAAUAGAUAAUUGAAAAAGUAGAACUGCAAAUUGCUGCAGAAAUUCACCUGGAACAUAAACCAGUUAUUUAGGCCUAAGGGUGGAAUAUAGUUUUGAAUGGGUCAAUUUUUUUUAAAAGGACCUCCAGGGACACACACUGCCAAUUUUGCUCUGAUAUUUUUCCAUUGCAGUUUUUGUGCAAGGAAAACAUAGGUGAAAAUGUCUACCAUGUUUGAAAGUUUAAAGACUACUUUCUGAAAUGCAGACUAGUGGAUUUUACUUCUGUUUCAUCAAGAGAUUCUAAAAUGAAAGGGGUGGGAAGCAGAAGCCAAGAAAAAUGGAGAACAGCAGAUGUUUUGAAACAGCAGUUUCAACCCUAUUAGCAUCUUCCCUAGUUUUCUCUAUUGUUUUCUGAGCUUCAGCUCAGAUGAGCAAAACUUGAUAAUUAUGGAAUCCUAGAAUGGUCUAGGUUAGAAGUGACCAUAAAUAUAAUCUCGUUCCAAACGCCCUUCCAUGGGCAGGGGCACUUCCACUACACCAGACUGCCCAGAGCUCCAUUCAGCCUGGCCUUGAACACUUCCAGAGAUGAGGCACCCACUAUUUCUUUCAAUGUGUUCCACUGCCUCACCACUCUCACAGUACAAAAUUAUUGCCUAAUAUCUAAUCUAAACCCACCCUCAUAUAGUUUGAAGUCAUUCUCUCUUGUCCUUGUAUAAAGUCUCUUUCCAUCUUUCUUGUAGACUCCCAUCACGUACUAGAAGGCCACAACUAGGUCACCCCUAAGCCUUCUGUUUUCCAGGCUGAACAACAACAAUUCUCUCAGUCUUUCCUCACAGGAGAGGUGUUCCAUCCCUGCAACCAUCUGGGUGACCUCCUCUGGAGUCACUCCAGCAGCUCCGUGUCCUUCCUGUGCUGGCCCCCCAGAGCUGAUGCAGCCCUGCAGGUGGCUCUCAGCAGAGCAGAGCAGAGGGGCAGAAUCCCCUCCCUGGCCCUGCUGCCCAUGCUGCUUUGGAUGCAGCCCAGGACACGUUUGGCUCUCUGGGCUGGGAGUGCCCAUGGCUGGCUCAUGUCCAGCCUCUACCCACAGCAUCCCAAGUCCUUCUGGGCAGGGCUGCUCUGGUCUGUCCAUCCCCAGCCAGUGCUGGUACUGGGGGUUGUCCUCACCCAAAUGCAGUACCUUGAAUUUAGUCUUGUUAAAACUCUUGAGAUUUCCCUGGGCCCACUUCUUGAGUUUUUCCAGGUCCCUCUAGAUGGCAUCCUGUCCUUCAGGUGUUUCAAUGCUCGGCCUGGUGUCAUCUGCAAACUUUGCUGGGGGUGCACGUGAACCAUUUAUCUAUGUAAUCAAUGAAGUUAUUAAAUAACACUGGUCCCAAUACAGACCCUUGAGAGACAUAACUUGUCACUAAUGUCCAUUGUGUCUCUGUGCUGUUGAAUGCAGAUUGUAAA
rnacentral:lncRNA from 1 species